AAGAUCCCCUGUAGCACGUUCCAAUGGAGCAGCCGGGAGGCAGGUUUAAAGCUUGGGUUUUCAACACAACUGAGUAAAAAGUCCCUUCUGAUAGGUGGAGCCGUUUAAAACCCUUUAGCAGGGUAAAAGGCAACCCAAGGGUAAGAAAAAAUCUCUCCCAAAUCGGCUCCAUCCUGGACCCAAGGCCACGCCUUCCUGAUCUACGUGCAGUCGCUGUUUGCUGGACUUCCUGUGUCCACUUCUGGGGACUUUGCUUCAUCAUCCCAUCCCGUCCUGUCCCUUGACACGACUUUGGUUCCCAUUUCAUGGAAGGGACUAGAAACUCAUUAACUAACGCCCCACGUCUUAGUUAUUGGCACCCUAAGUCUAAGUCUGCGUGACCCC
rnacentral:lncRNA from 1 species